AUGUGUUGCAACUACUACGGCAACUCCUGUGGCUAUGGCUCCAGCUAUGGCUGUGGCUAUGGCUCUGGUUAUGGCUAUGGCUAUGGCUCCAGCUAUGGCUGUGGCUAUGGAACUGGCUACAGCUGUGGCUAUGGCUGUGGCUAUGGCUCUGGUUAUGGCUGUGGCUAUGGCUCCAGCUAUGGCUGUGGCUAUGGAACUGGCUACAGCUGUGGCUAUGGCUCUGGCUACAGCUGUGGCUAUGGCUCUGGCUCUGGCUGUGGCUAUGGAACUGGCUUCGGCUGUGGGUAUGGCUGUGGUUAUGGAACUGGCUAUGGCUGUGGAUGUGGCUCUGGCUCUGGCUACUGUGGCUACCGGCCAUUUUGCUUUAGAAGAUGCUAUUCUUCCUGCUAA
rnacentral:lncRNA from 1 species